ensembl:misc_RNA Y_RNA Y RNA
GGCUGGUCUGAAGGUAGUAGUUUAUCUUGAUGAAUUGUUUAGUCAGUUACAGAUCAAACUCCAUGUUCUUUGUUCUUACUACUACACUUGACUAGUCUAAA